rnacentral:tRNA from 2 species
AUCUUUAGCUCAGUUGGUUAGAGCUCUCGGCUCAUAACCGAGCGGUCGUUGGUUCGAAUCCAACAAGAUC